rnacentral:rRNA from 1 species
UACAGAGGUCUCAAGCGUUGUUCGGAUUCAUUGGGCGUAAAGGGUGCGUAGGUGGCGCUGUAAGUCGGGUGUGAAAUUUCGGAGCUUAACUCCGAAACUGCAUUGAAUACUAUUCGGCUUGAGGUCUGGAGGGGGGACUGGAAUUCUCGGUGUAGCAGUGAAAUGCGUAGAUAUCGAGAGGAGCACCAGUGGCGAAGGCGAGUCCCUGGACCGACAUUGACGCUGAGGAGCGAAAGCCAGGGGAGCAAACAGG